AUUAAAAGUAAUUGAAGUUUUAAUAGUAAAAACAACUUUUGAAUAUUUUCAAAACGGAUUUAAAUUAUAUAUGUAAUACUCCGUAUUUUUGGAGUUAAUUCCUUAUAAUUAAGAAAAUAUAAAGAAUAUAAUUAAAAGGUAUUUUAAGAUUAUUUACAAAAAAUUAAUAAUAAUACAGUUGGAGUACGUUUACAACUUUAACGUAAUUCUAUUAUCGUUCGGUUUAUUUUAAUUUCGAAAUGAAUAAACUAAAUCGAGUCCUACAAGACCUAGAGUUGCCAAGUAUAAAUUGGAAAGAAUAAUAAUAAUUAAAUGAGAAAAAAAAAAAGAAAACCCUAAUUCUCUCUUUCCCCCUCCCUCAGCCGUUUCUCUCUCUCCUUCUCUCUCAGUUUCUCUCUCCUCUCUUCUCUUCUCCCUCGCUGUUUCCCUCUAAGCUUCAAAGUGCGUGGUGCGAGGCGUGCGAGAGUGUGUGACACAAGCAGUGAAGGAGAGGAUUCGAGCGGUCGGGUGUGCGAGGGGCUGCUCGAGUGUGUACGAGAAUCGUGCGAACAAUUCGUGGUUCGAGGUUGUGCGAGCAGAGGGGAGUGCUCGAGGAUCUGUGCGAGCGACGAGGGUGUUGUGUGCGACGAGUUUCGAACUGUGCGAGUGCGAGCGACGAGGAUUCGACGAGGGCGUUGGGUGUGGCGUUCGGAGGUCUGUGUGACGACUCGAGGGUGCGAGCGAGGGAGUUUGAGGGGCUUGUGCGAGCAUCGGUUUUUGUGACAAGGUUGAUGUGCGUGCGAGUCGAGCAUGGCCUGUGGCUCGAUUGCGUCGCGCGAAGCAAGGUGACCGGUUGUGGGUGGUGGCGUGCGAAGCAGCAGCACGACCGUUUAUGGCUGCGUGGCGAGCGAGUAUUGCCGGAAUUCGGUUGCCGGUGUUUAAUGCCGGCGAGAUUCAGUGGUCCCAAUUUCAUAAGCGGAACGUUUGGUUAAGACAACGAAAAUUCUCCGUUACAAGACUAGGUGUACUGGUGCUGCUGCAUGAUAUCAAGCAUACGAGGGAUAGUCUUUAAUCUUGGAACUUUAACGCGUUUAGUUAAGCAUUUUAAAAACUAUUAUGAUUUACUUAAUUAGUUUGUGGUUUGUAUAAAAGGGGUCAUUGAUGAUUCCCGAGUUGUAGUAACAUUUUUAUUUCCGCUGCAUUUCAGUUUUCGAGACAAUGAUUUGAGUUAACAUUCUUCUUAUUAAGCCUUGUGUUUCAUCGCGACGGUAAUGCACCCAAAGUCGAUGCGACGUAGUCGUAGACGUGUAUGGAUUUUGGGGGUGUUACAUUUUAAAGUGGUUGUAUUUUAUCUAGAGUAUUGAUUUUAGUUUA